GAUGAAGAACGCAGCGAAAUGCGAUAAGUAAUGUGAAUUGCAGAAUUCAGUGAAUCAUCGAAUCUUUGAACGCACAUUGCGCCCCUUGGUAUUCCGGGGGGCAUGCCUGUUCGAGCGUCAUUAUCACCCUCAAGCUCAGCUUGGUGUUGGGGCCUGCCGUCAAGGCAGCCCUUAAAAUCAGUGGCGGCGCCAUCUGGCUCUAAGCGUAGUAAUACUUCUCGCUACAGGGUCCCGGUGGAGUCUUGCCAGAACCCCUCAUUUUUUAUGAUUGACCUCGGAUCAGGUAGGGAUACCCGCUGAACUUAAGCAUAUCAAUAAGCGGAGGA
rnacentral:misc_RNA from 1 species